GAUGAAACCUGAGAAAACAAACAAACAAAAAAAAUGCUCUUCAUUACCAGAUUUCAGAGAGAGAGAGACAUGAAUUUUAGGAAAGAACUCACUGUAAGCACCUCAUCCAACUCUUUUUGACAUUAGUGGGAGUUGGAUCAGACCAUAAAUCAGCAUAUAUUUAAAAGCUCAGGGUCCAGUCUGGUAGUCCUAACUCUAGAAAAGCUCCCGUUUUGCCUAGAUGUUGACCCAAAAUGCUGUAUAUUAUUAUUACUAAUGCAGAGAAAAAGCUCUUCAGAACCUCCAAACACGGUGGAAGGAGUGCAGUUCUGUUGUGGGGCGGAAGAGCACAAAGUCUUUAGGGCAGGCUUAAUAGCUUUAGACUAGAUUCACAAAGGUACUGAGGUGGCUAGCUGCCUCUUUAAGCAUAUAACCAAAAUUAAGGACCACUGGAAUUCUCAAAAAAACUCUGCUCUAAUGCCAACUUACCUUGCAGGCAUCUGAAUUUCCACUGGCAGGCAUGUGAAAAGCCAGCUAACACCACCAACAGCUAAUUAGCCGCAUGGAGCCCUAGUGCAAGCAGAGGACCCAGGGCCCUGAAGCAGACUUCUCAAACCAGAACAUAUGAAACCUAAAGCAGAUGAACUACAGGCCCCACAGGAGCCUACUGAAGAAUGUACAGCAAAGAUACAAAAGGUUAAAAUGAAGACACAAACUUAAAAUGCAGAAAAAGAAAGCAAUACCUUUGCCCACAUGUUGCAAUGGAUGACAACUGGUCCCUGGAGUGAAGAUAUGAAAGGAACAGCAAUGGGUAAGCUAGUAGGAAGCUUUGUCUCUAUAUAAGCAGCUCUGGGCUUCUGUACUUGUCACCCUGACCCACCCCCUUCCUUCUCUACCCAGAAAUUUCCCCCUUUCAUAACCUCCAGUCUUCCUUGACUAACUUCCUCCACACCACAAAUUGCUGAGACUCCUGGUUACAGCACUUUGUGGGGCAAGUUCAUACGUCAUGUGCAAAUUGGCAUAUGUUACGUUGUUUUAUGGCCAUAAGAGUAUAAAUUGGGGUAACUUACAUCUGGAGCCCAUGGAAGAUGUCAGUUAAUGUGUGUUGGUCUUAUCCAGAUCUCACUUCCACCAGCAUAAAUCAUGAGUAACUCAACUUGAAAGUAGUGCAGUUACAUUACUGUCAAACAUGUGAGAGGAGAAUCAGGUCCUGUGUGUGGCACAGUCAUAACUUACAUAAUCCUGUUAUGUUUUGUCCUGCUAUAUUCCUCUGUCUUUGUACCUUAUGUAACUUGAGCUUUGUGCAAUUAGAAGCUCCACCAGAAUGUUGUAUUAAAACAGCUGUGUGCAUUUAAACUA